GGACCAAGGAGUCUAGCAUGUGCGCGAGUCAUUGGGAUAAUACUAAACCUAAAGGCGAAAUGAAAGUGAAGGUCCGCCUUGUGCGGACCUGGGGAAGAUGGGCGACCGUUUCGGCUGUCGCUCCGCACUCCCGGGGCGUCUCGUUCUCAUUGCGAGAAGAGGCGCACCAAGAGCGUACAUGCUGGGACCCGAAAGAUGGUGAACUAUGCCUGGUCAGGACGAAGUCAGGGGAAACCCUGAUGGAGGUCCGUAGCGAUUCUGACGUGCAAAUCGAUCGUAAGAACUGGGUAUAGGGGCGAAAGACUAAUCGAACCAUCUAGUAGCUGGUUCCCUCCGAAGUUUCCCUCAGGAUAGCUGGCGCUCAUAGAUAAGAGUUUCAUCCGGUAAAGCGAAUGAUUAGAGGCAUUGGGGUCGAAACGGCCUCAACCUAUUCUCAAACUUUAAAUGGGUGAGAUCUCCGGCUUACUUGAACAAAUGUUGAAGCCGCGAGACUCGAAUCAGAGUGCCAAGUGGGCCAUUUUUGGUAAGCAGAACUGGCGCUGUGGGAUGAACCAAAAGCCGAGUUAAAGCGCCUAAAUCGACGCUUAUGGGAUACCAUGAAAGGCGUUGGUAACUUAAGACAUCAGGACGGUGGCCAUGGAAGUUGGA
rnacentral:rRNA from 1 species